CCUGUCCCGACCACCUCCGGCUAAAGGCCUUGUGGGCCUACCGCUCACUCGUUCCGAGAAUUGAAAAUAAAAAGAAUGACCAGACUAGACUAGGCCCUAGCCUACUAUAAAACCGCAUUUCAUGACAUUAUUGUCAAUUGUUUGUCAUAGGGUCUAUUCCCCAACAGAUCAGCAUCAGCUUGGUUCACUGACGGAAAUUUCUCUGCAUGCAUGCAGCCCUGUCUAAACGGGAGUCCAGUCCUAGUCCAGUUUUUUUUGCAAUAGGCCUAACUGUCGCUUAUCCAAAAACGACUGUUUGGGGCAAUUCGGAGUGAAGUGCUUUGCUCAGGGCACAACGAUGAUCUCCAAUGAUCGAACUCACAACAUUUAAUGCUACUGCCACUCUACCCAGAUCUAAUAGGCAGUCUACAUGCCACACAACCUCUUGUGCAGACCAUGCCCUUCUCAACUGGACAAUGCAAUAAAGGCAUUGUUAAGGCCUCUGCUUGUGUAGUGAGACCUGCAGAAAAUUCAAAAUACAGGAGCAGCACAUAGGCCUAUGGGUUUCAAUCAGCCAAAGAAGACACGUGUUUAUUCCCAGUUCAGUGGGAAUGACCCAGAGGACCGAGGAAGGAAGGAAGGGAGGAUAGAUAAGAGGACGAAUGAGAAGCACCCAGUAUGUGUGGAGGUGCUUCCUUACCUGCUAGCUCCGGAUGCAUCCUGCCCACGUCAGCAAGCAGUGGGACGUACCUCUGGACCUCAGCUCCUUCAGAAGAACCUAUGGACAAGGCAGUGGUGUCUCCGUUCAAAGGUGAUUGAAAAGUAUAAGUGAGAUGACGGAUACUAACAAAAUGUUCAAGUCACCGCACCGAACAUUCAGUGAAAUCCAACGGCUGUGCUGGGAUGAGGGACUACAACAUUCUCCAGUACUGUGUCAGUUGUCCUUUACCGUUAGAGGACUAACACAGCAGACAAAGAAGAGGACGGUCCAGACACACAGCAGACGAAGAAGAGGACGGUCCAGACUAAAGGAAACAAGACUCACCUCUCGCCAGCAUGAGGAUGUAGGUUUGUCUCUCCCGCAGAAGAGUGCAGGUCGAGUCCAGGCUCUGCUCACUCUCCGGCAGACCCAUCAGCUCCCCACACUUAUCCAUCAGAUCCACAUGGU